AUGACUAAAACUUAUCAAAUUUAAAUUUAAAUCAUUUUUUAACGUUUUCUAAUUAAUAUAUUUUUAAAAAGAUCUUUUCUCAACAGUAGCUCCAAUAAUAAUGCCAAAUAGGCCCCUAAACCAAAACUAAUCUCAAAUAGACAGGCCAACCUACAGUUACUAUUGAUACAACAGUUUUAUACAUUCGUACAUCUGGAAAAAACAUGAACUCCAAUUUUCUUACUUAACUUUUAUGAACCCAUGAUGAGAUAGGCCUAACCUACCAUAGAGAAACAGUAAGCCCAUUGCAAACAAUUCCCCUAAAGCAGUAUUAAUAACAACAAUAACUAAACUUUAAUUCCAAACUAGUUGUGGUCAUCUAUAUUGAUCAUUUUCCACCAUGCAGCUCUAUUAGACACCAAGUCGGCAUUAAUAUUUAAAACUUGUACAUAAGGAUCCAUAUUAUGAGAAAUGACUAUGUUUUAUGUUAGUCGUCAACUUACCAUAACCCUCGUCCUUUUUUGGGGCUUAGGAUCAGCUAUAUUUUGCUAAGCUCACAUAGGCAGAGUUUAAAGCAAUAUCAACUUAGAUAAAAAUAAAUAAAUAA
rnacentral:misc_RNA from 1 species